rnacentral:rRNA from 1 species
AACGAACGCUGGCGGCAGGCUUAACACAUGCAAGUCGAGCGCCCCGCAAGGGGAGCGGCAGACGGGUGAGUAACGCGUGGGAAUCUACCCAUCUCUACGGAAUAACGCAUGGAAACGUGUGCUAAUACCGUAUACGUCCUUCGGGAGAAAGAUUUAUCGGAGUUGGAUGAGCCCGCGUUGGAUUAGCUAGUUGGUGGGGUAAAGGCCUACCAAGGCGACGAUCCAUAGCUGGUCUGAGAGGAUGAGCAGCCACACUGGGACUGAGACACGGCCCAGACUACUACGGGAGGCAGCAGUGGGGAAUAUUGGACAAUGGGCGCAAGCCUGAUCCAGCCAUGCCGCGUGAGUGAUGAAGGCACUAGGGUUGUAAAGCUCUUUCACCGGUGAAGAUAAUGACGGUAACCGGAGAAGAAGCCCCGGCUAACUUCGUGCCAGCAGCCGCGGUAACAC